UACGAAGGGGGCUAGCGUUGUUCGGAAUUACUGGGCGUAAAGCGCACGUGGAGCGGAUGUUUAAGUUAGGGGUGAAAUCCCAGGGCUCAACCCUGGAACUGCCUCUAAUACUGGGCAUCUAGAGUCCGAGAGAGGUGAGUGGAAUUCCGAGUGUAGAGGUGAAAUUCGUAGAUAUUCGCAAGAACACCAGUGGCGAAGGCGGCUCACUGGCCCGAUACUGACGCUGAGGCACGAAAGCGUGGGGAGCAAACAGG
rnacentral:rRNA from 1 species